AAUGAACGUUGGCGGCGUGGAUUAGGCAUGCAAGUCGUGCGAGAAUCUCCCUUCGGGGAGAGGACAGCGGCGAAAGGGAGAGUAACGCGUGGUUACAUACCCUCGGGACCGGGAUAGUAGCGGGAAACUGCUAGUAAUACCGGAUAAUAUCUUUGGAUCAAAGGUGUGAUUCCGCCCGAGGAUUGGACCGCGUUCUAUUAGCUUGUUGGCGGGGUAAUGGCCCUCCAAGGCGACGAUGGAUACCGGGUGUGAGAGCAUGGCCCGGCUCACUGGGACUGAGACACUGCCCAGACACCUACGGGUGGCUGCAGUCGAGAAUCUUCGGCAAUGGGGGCAACCCUGACCGAGCGACGCCGCGUGCGGGAUGAAGGCCUUCGGGUUGUAAACCGCUGUCAGUUGGGAGGAAGUGCCAGGGGGUUCUCCCCUUGGUUUGACCGAUCUUCAGAGGAAGGACGGGCUAAGUUCGUGCCAGCCGCCGCAGUAAUAC
rnacentral:rRNA from 1 species